rnacentral:rRNA from 1 species
GGGAAGCGAGACCGGGAGGUUAAGCAAAUCCCAAAAAUAACGUCUCAGUUCGGAUUGUAGUCUGCAACUCGACUGCACGAAGCUGGAAUCGCUAGUAAUCGCGGAUCAGCACGCCGCGGUGAAUACGUUCCCGGGCCUUGUACACACCGCCCGUCACACCAUGGAAGUCUGCAAUGCCCGAAGCCGGUGGCCUAACCACUUAUGUGGAAGGAGCCGUCUAAGGCAGGGCAGAUGACUGGGGUGAAGUCGUAACAAGGUAAC